GUCCACGCCCUAAACGAUGAUUACUCGACAUUUGUGAUACACUAUAAGUGUCUGAGCGAAAGCAUUAAGUAAUCCACCUGGGAAGUACGACCGCAAGGUUGAAACUCAAAAGAAUUGGCGGGGUCCGCACAAGCGGUGGAGCAUGUGGUUUAAUUCGAUGAUACGCGAGGAACCUUACCUGGGCUAGAAUGCUGGGAGACCGUGAGUGAAAGCUCACUUUGUAGCAAUACACUGCCAGUAAGGUGCUGCAUGGCUGUCGU
rnacentral:rRNA from 1 species